GUGCAAGAUCCAAGAACCUGCUAAAUGGGCUAUGCCCUUUUCUCAAAAGUUAUAAUCUAGAAAUACAUGCUAAGGAAAUAACCAAAGAGAGUAAUUUAAAAAAUCACAAGCAUAGUCAGCACAAUUCUGUUAAUCAAGGCAGGAAAUAAUGAAAAACUUAAAUAACCAACAGUAAGAUCUUGGUUACAAUAAAAUAUAUAACAUCUAAGGGCCAGAUGCAGUGGCUCAUGCCUGUAAUCCACAAACAGUCUCUCAGACCACAGUGAAGACAAAUUAGAACUUAGGAUUAAGAAACUCACUCAAAAUCACACAACUACAUGUAAACUGAACAACCUGCUCCUGAAUGGCUGCUGGGUAAAC
rnacentral:lncRNA from 1 species